rnacentral:rRNA from 1 species
GAUAAACGCUGGCGGCGUGCUUAACACAUGCAAGUCGAACGAAGUUUUUCCUUCGGGAGAAACUUAGUGGCGGACGGGUGAGUAACGCGUGGGUAACCUGCCCUGUACAGGGGGACAACAGCUGGAAACGGCUGCUAAUACCGCAUAAGCCCUUAGCACUGCAUGGUGCAUAGGGAAAAGGAGCAAUCCGGUACAGGAUGGACCCGCGUCUGAUUAGCCAGUUGGCAGGGUAACGGCCUACCAAAGCGACGAUCAGUAGCCGAUCUGAGAGGAUGUACGGCCACAUUGGGACUGAGACACGGCCCAGACUCCUACGGGAGGCAGCAGUGGGGAAUAUUGCACAAUGGAGGAAACCCUGAUGCAGCGACGCCGCGUGAGUGAAGAAGUAUUUCGGUAUGUAAAGCUCUAUCAGCAGGGAAGAAAAUGACGGUACCUGACUAAGAAGCACCGGCUAAAUACGUG